rnacentral:rRNA from 1 species
UCCAAUCGAACCCGGAGAUAGCUGGUUCUCCCCGAAAUAGCUUUAGGGCUAGCGUUGUAUAUCAUUACCGGAGGUAAAGCACUGAAUGGCCUAGGGCCCUAACGGGUACCGAAGCCUAUCAAACUAAGAAUGCCGGAUAAUGUGAGUACAGCAGUCAGACUAUGGGAGAUAAGUUUCAUGGUCAAAAGGGAAACAGCCCAGACCCACAGCUAAGGUCCCAAAUAUGAUUUAAGUGGAAAACGAUGUGGAGUUGCGAAAACAACCAGGAUGUUGGCUUAGAAGCAGCCACUCAUUCAAAGAGUGCGUAAUAGCUCACUGGUCGAGUGACUCUGCGCGGAAAAUUCAACGGGGCUAAAAUCAUAACCGAAGCUUGGGAUGCAAUUAAUGCAUGGUAGGGGAGCGUUGUGUAAGGGGUGAAGUCACAGCGAAAGCGGUGGUGGACAUUACACAAGUGAGAAUGCCGGAAUGAGUAGCGCGAAUUAUGUGAGAAUCAUAAUGGCCGAAAGUCUAAGGUUUUUGGAGGAAGGUUCGUCCGCUCCAAGUUAGUCGGGAGCUAAGGUGAGGCCGAAAGGCGUAGCCGAUGCACAUACGGUAGAAAUUCCGUAACCGUCGAAGUAUUUAAGCAAAGGGACACUUUGGGAAGGUACAAGCCAGGCGUUGGUAGCCCUGGCCGUAAGGGACUGAAAAUUAGUAGGGAAGUGUACUGGAACAGAGGCGAGAAAAGCUUUGUGUAUAUACAAGACGCCCGUACCGCAAACCGACACAGGUAGAUGGGAAGAGAAUUCUAAGGCCAACGGGAGAAGGGUUGUUAAGGAACUCGGCAAGUUGACCCCGUAACUUCGGAAUAAGGGGUGCUCAUGAAAGUGAGCCGCAGAGAAUAGGCCCAGGCAACUGUUUACCAAAAACACAGGUUUGUGCUAAAUCGAAAGAUGACGUAUACGAGCUGACGCCUGCCCGGUGCUGGAAGGUUAAAAGGAGAUGUGCAAGCAUUGAAUUGAAGCCCCAGUGAACGGCGGCCGUAACUAUAACGGUCCUAAGGUAGCGAAAUUCCUUGUCAGGUAAGUUCUGACCCGCACGAAAGGCGUAACGAUUUGGGCGCUGUCUCAGCUGUAGACUCGGUGAAGUCUUAGUACCUGUGAAGAUGCAGGUUACCCGCGACUAGACGGAAAGACCCCAUGGAGCUUCACUGCAGGUUGAUAUUGGGAUUUGAUGCAGCAUGUACAGGAUAGGUAGGAGGCAAGGAGAUGGAUACGCCAGUAUUCAAGGAGCCGCUGUUGGGAUACUACCCCUGUUGUAUUGGAUUUCUAACCGGACGACGUAAAGCCGUUGACGGGACAGUGUCAGUCGGGCAGUUUGACUGGGGCGGUCGCCUCCCAAAGAGUAACGGAGGCGCCCAAAGAUACCCUCAGCUUGGAUGGAAACCAAGCGCAGAGUGCAAAGGCAAAAGGGUGUUUGACUGCGAGACCCACAAGUCGAGCAGGGACGAAAGUCGGGCUUAGUGAUCCGGCGGUGCUGAAUGGAAAGGCCGUCGCUCAACGGAUAAAAGCUACCCUGGGGAUAACAGGCUGAUCUCCCCCAA